rnacentral:SRP_RNA from 2 species
GCCAGGCAUGGUGGUGCAUGCCUGUAAUCCCAGCUACUCGGGAGGCUGAGGCGGGAGAAUCUCUUGAGCCAGGGAGUCGGAGGUUGCAGUGAGCCAAGAUAACGCCACUGACCGAGAUCGCCCCACUGCACUCCAGCCUGGCGACAGAGUGAGACUCCGUCUCAA